GGAAGCCCCGCCUGCGUGAUCUCAAAGCCCAGGACAAUGCCGAGGGACUUCGUGUCCCAGGAGGACAUAAGCACGGCACUCGUCUCCGCCUUCUGACCUCGCUCCUCGCCUCGCGAGGUGUGGGAGGAAGGGAACGAAGAUGAGACUCGAAGGGGUCCGGAGGAAAAGCAAGGAUGUCCCAAAAUGAGGGGACCUCGAAACUGAAUAAACAUGUCUUGCGGAUGACGCGGAGGAAGAAGUCGUCAAUAUUCUGACCUCCCUUCCAAUUCCCUGUCGGCCCCGCCCCUCACUUCGCCCUUCCCCAGUCCUCCUUCCUCUUUCCGCCACGGCCGAAAACAGAAGUAUCUGAAAGUCGGGAAGAAGCGGCCGGAGAGCUCGCCGGGUCCCCAGUGCGCAAGCUAGAGGGAGGUCCCGCCGCCGCCCCGCGCGGCUCCUGCUCCGCCUGCAGGGAGGCCGCCAGGAGGCGCUGUGGGGCGGGCGGGCCGCGUCUCUGAGAGCACUUGCUGCCUCUUCUAGAAAUUUCCUUAAAAGAUCCAAGUGACCUUCAGCCCCGCCCCGAGAGCAUCUGCAGGCUCCUAGGCCCAGUCAGGUUUCCUGUCGGGCCUUGAGGGCAGGUCCUCUGUCCCACUGGCUGCUGCAGCUCCAGCUCCUGGAACAGAGAAGAAUAAGCGCCAUCUUCACCAAAGAGUGUCUGAACUGCUGGAUGGUCACAGAAGGCCUUUCUUAUCAGAAGGAAACACGUCAUCAGGGGCAGAGAGCAGCCACUCUGAGGAGCUUAUCCUGGAAGGUAUACUUGCAGGUAUACCUAUCCUGAAGGUGUACUUGCACAUUUACACAGACUCAUCAACAAGAAGGUUUGUGGCAGCAUUAUCAAAGACGGAAACAACCUCAUUGUCCAUCAACAGAGGAUUAGUUAAAUAAAUGGUGAUGCAUCCAUCCUGUGAGAGAUUGAGCAGCCAUUAAAGUUAAUGAAGCAGAUCUGUAUGUGCUGAAGUGGAAAAAUCCCCAAGAUGCACUAAUUUAAAGACACAACAUGACAACGAUGAGCUACCACUUCAUACCCAUUUAAAUGGCUGAAAUUUUAAAAACUGACUACACCUAACAUUUAUAAAACUGUGGUGCAACGAGAACCUACACACUCUGCCAGUGGUUGUAUAAAAUGACACAACCAUUUUAGAAAACAGGUUGUAUUUGUUUGUUUGUUCUUAACUAAAGUUAAACAUACAUGUAAGCAGAGAUCUAGCAAGUUCACUCCUAGGUAUUA